AGUGAACGCUGGCGGUAGGCCUAACACAUGCAAGUCGAACGGCAGCACAGUAAGAGCUUGCUCUUACGGGUGGCGAGUGGCGGACGGGUGAGGAAUACAUCGGAAUCUACUUUUUCGUGGGGGAUAACGUAGGGAAACUUACGCUAAUACCGCAUACGACCUACGGGUGAAAGCAGGGGAUCUUCGGACCUUGCGCGAUUGAAUGAGCCGAUGUCGGAUUAGCUAGUUGGCGGGGUAAAGGCCCACCAAGGCGACGAUCCGUAGCUGGUCUGAGAGGAUGAGCAGCCACACUGGAACUGAGACACGGGCCAGACUCCUACGGGAGGCAGCAGUGGGGAAUAUUGGACAAUGGGCGCAAGCCUGAUCCAGCCAUACCGCGUGGGUGAAGAAGGCCUUCGGGUUGUAAAGCCCUUUUGUUGGGAAAGAAAAGCAGCAGGUUAAUACCCCGCUGUUCUGACGGUACCCAAAGAAUAAGCACCGGCUAACUUCGUG
rnacentral:rRNA from 1 species